rnacentral:lncRNA from 12 species
GACAGUAGGGCUUCCACUGAGUAAACCUGACCACAGGCAGUGGACUGUGUAGGUACGAAUCUCCAGGACUAGGGAAGAGCCAACUAAAGAGGCCUCCUGUGUCAGCCAGCCUUCCUGGGACAGUCCUGGGAAAGCUUCCUGGACUUGUUGCCAGAAUGCCUGGAAUGUCAGAAAGAAUAUGUUUAUCUGUGACAUGUUGGGUUAUAUAUUAAGAAGUGGUUAGGACAGCUAAAGCUGUUCUCUCCCGAUCUCUACUCCAGGGCAUUUGCUUGGCUUUCUGAGUGAGCAGAGUUAAGAGCUCCAGAUGCUGCUCCUGGGGUGAACACAGUGACUUUAAUCUCCUGGGAGGCUCAGCUCCAAACACAGUAGUUACUUCAGAGGGCACUGAGAAGGAAGGCAGGUAUAUUUGCGUUAUGCCUGUGGAUCUGUUGCCAAGCACACCGUCUUGCCACUGACACAAGAGCCAGUUUUGCCUGGCAGCACAGACAUCAAAGCUCCCUCAUGGAAAAGCAGCCCCGAAUUUGGAAGAGGCAUUUUAUAAUUUCCAACCAUUUCAUUAUGGCAUUAAGCUUCCAGUUCCUCUUCAUUAUGGUUAUGAACAGCUGAACUCAGGCUCUGAAGUGCUAUUUUCCCAGUGUUCUCAGGAACAUGAAGACUUUUCAGUGAUCAUGGACAGACGGAUGAAUUGUCGUGGAGCUGCAGGGAGCCAGAAACGACGUGUGCUCUGACUAGAAUCGAAGCAUUUCUUUUUGAACCAAUGGCAGGUCACUUCCGUAGUAAACACAUCGACUGAUGCUAUGUCCCAAAAGAAGUGGCAAAACAAAAUUACUUGACAACUUCAAGUUUUUCAUUUAAUGACUAUCUAUUGUAAACCAGAAAGAAACUUAAACAUUAUAUCCAUAUUAAUAAAGGCAUGUAUUGGAAAGCCA